AUCCAGCGAAACCACAGC
rnacentral:snRNA from 1 species